rnacentral:rRNA from 1 species
CCUACGGGCGGCAGCAGUGGGGGAUAUUGCACAAUGGGGGGAACCCUGAUGCAGCGACGCCGCGUGGGGGAAUGAAGGUCUUCGGAUUGUAAACCCCUGUCAUGUGGGAGCAAAUUAAAAAGAUAGUACCACAAGAGGAAGAGACGGCUAACUCUGUGCCAGCAGCCGCGGUAAUACAGAGGUCUCAAGCGUUGUUCGGAAUCACUGGGCGUAAAGGGUGCGUAGGCUGUUUCGUAAGUCGUGUGUGAAAGGCGCGGGCUCAACCCGAGGACGGCACAUGAUACUGCGAGACUAGAGUGAUGGAGGGGGAACCGGAAUUCUCGGUGUAGCAGUGAAAUGCGUAGAUAUCGAGAGGAACACUCGUGGCGAAGGCGGGUUCCUGGACAUUAACUGACGCUGAGGCACGAAGGCCAGGGGAGCGAAAGGGAUUAGAUACCCCUGUAGUC